CACGUAGCUACUGAUUUACUAAUGAUUUACGAUGUAAUCUUAGAUGAAAGGGGUAAGUUAUACCUGCAUGGAAUGUGGUGUUUCUAGUAGAGUUCUGUACUUAACAACAUGUACUGUACACAAAAUUAGCCUGGGUAACGGUAUUGUUCUCUUAUACGCUUGGUCGCAUAGACUCUGUAUCCCUGGAAGCAUAUAUGCUAUAUAAGAUGGUGUGUUGCUACAAUAAAGUGGAAGCCGUGAACUCAUAUUGAGUGUAGAGCUUCCCGCGCCGUGGGGGGUGACCCUGUGGGAAACUUGGGGAGUUUCCCAACAGUCAUGGAAUAGUUUGAGUUGGAAGUGACCAUUAAAGACCAUCUGGUCCAACCCCCUCCUGCAAUGAACAACAAUUUUAGGUCUUGGGUCUCCAGUGGCUUGACAGAUGAAUGAAGCAACACCUCCAGAAACCCCUGUCUGGUCAACAGGUGUUCUUGUAAACUUCGGUGGUGCUAAAACAAACAAACAAACAAACGAAAUUAAUCUAAGAAGCAACCAUGAAAAAGAAACCAUGUCAAGAUUUCAAAAUGAACAGAAUAAAAUAUUUUGUUUCUUCAGUGACAGUAUUCAUCUGCAAGAAAAAGUAAUAAGAAAUAACUAAAAGGUCAGGAAAGUACUUACAGAUUUUACUAUUAAAUCUGAUGCCAUCAGAGUAGCACGAUCAUACAUUAUAUUUUAUCACAGUUAUAAAUAAAAAAUCAAUUUGUCUUCUGUUGCAAAAUGAGCUCAUCUAUCAACUGAAAUUAUAUCUUGAUUCAUUACUUGAUGUUAUGAUCACAGGAUGUCAUGCUGGAUUUCCACCUUUAAACCAUUAAAAUCAGUGACAUUUAGGAGAAAUUCUGUGAAAGUGUUCUAAGUUUGCAGAGGUAGAGGCAAAUACCUACAUAUUAAGAGCUUUUGCAGAAAGGGCUAUAAUAUAAGUGAGAUUUAUGCUUGGGCACAGUUUCACAUAAAACUCCAGUUCAUUCCUACAAUAUUCUACUCUGUCACAAAGAAGUGAAAAAAGAUACAACUACUGCAGGAACAAGAGAGGAGAGGGAACUGGAGAAAUCAUUUAAAAAGUAGGAAAGGACAUUUUUUAUCAAUUAUUCUCUUACCUUAUUUUUCUGUUAGAACAUAGUAAAUUUAUCAGGUUGUUUGAGAAACAAAACUUUCAAACCAAUACAAGAUAUGAUUUCUGAAAAAUCAAUGUGAAAGACGGAGAGUCUAAGCACAGUACAGAGAUGUUGAAGAAUUCGUUCAUACAUUUACUUAAUUCUCUUUUGUAAUUCAGUAGUUUUUAGAGUAUACUUGGAGAUGCUGAUGUUAAUUAUAUGAAGUGAUUACUGAGGGUCAAUAAAAUCAUUAAAAAAAAAACACAGCAGAUCUUUGCUCUGUGGUCUGUCGUCAGCUGUAAGCUGUUAUAUGUAGUGGCUCUGCAGCAACUGCUGCAAUUAAGUUUUGUUCUCCUCUUCAAUUUUUGCUUCCUUUCUGUUCUCAGUCUCUUUGGUUGUCUUCACCGUUCUACCUUAGUUAUGACAUUUAUGUACCAAUAUUGUACUCGUAUUUGUUUCUAAUUUGCUGCAUUACGUUUCUUAUGUCUAUCGGCCUACUCUUCUGAGGUAGCCUUUCCACAGGCAAUACUUCUUGUCAACAUAUUUAUUUAAAUGACAGAAUCUGAGGAGACUACGUGUAUGAAUGUAUGCAUGUAUGUAACUCUGGUAGGAAUCCUGAAAUCAUUUUAAAUGCCAAGAAAAUAUGAUCUAGACUCUCUUAUAAAACAGACUAAAUGCUAUGUUACAUUGCUACAUUAAAUAUAGGAAAAUGAAGAAUGUC